rnacentral:rRNA from 1 species
AAUGGGCGAAAGCCUGAUCCAGCAACGCCGCGUGAGGGAUGACGGCCUCGGGUUGUAAACCUCUUUCUAGCGGGGACGAAGCGCAAGUGACGGUACCCGCAGAAGAAGCACCGGCCAACUACGUGCCAGCAGCCGCGGUAAUACGUAGGGUGCGAGCGUUGUCCGGAAUUAUUGGGCGUAAAGAGCUCGUAGGCGGUUUGUCACGUCGGGAGUGAAAACUCGGGGCUUAACUCCGAGCUUGCUUCCGAUACGGGCAGGCUAGAGGCAUGCAGGGGAGAACGGAAUUCCUGGUGUAGCGGUGAAAUGCGCAGAUAUCAGGAGGAACACCGGUGGCGAAGGCGGUUCUCUGGGCAUGUCCUGACGCUGAGGAGCGAAAGUGUGGGGAGCGAACAGGAUUAGAUACCCUGGUAGUCCACACCGUAAACGUUGGGCGCUAGGUGUGGGGUCCAUUCCACGGAUUCCGUGCCGCAGCUAACGCAUUAAGCGCCCCGCCGUGGGGAGUACGGCCGCAAGGACUA